rnacentral:rRNA from 1 species
UCUACGGGAGGCAGCAGUGAGGAAUAUUGGUCAAUGGGCUUACGCCUGAACCAGCCAAGUCGCGUGAGGGAAGACUGCCCUAUGGGUUGUAAACCUCUUUUGUCAGGGAGCAACGCCGGCUACGUGUAGCCGGACUGAGAGUACCUGAAGAAAAAGCAUCGGCUGACUCCGUGCCAGCAGCCGCGGUAAUACGGAGGAUGCGAGCGUUAUCCGGAUUUAUUGGGUUUAAAGGGUGUGUAGGGGGAAUGCCAAGUCAGCGGUACAAUCGCGGGGCACAACCUCGCUCCGCCGUUGAACCUGGCGUUCUUGAGUGGGCGAGAAGUAUGCGGAAUGCGUGGUGGAGCGGUGAAAUGCAUAGAUA